AGCCCAAUCCAAACAAAAAUUAAGUGAGCAUACUAAAAAAAAUUCAGAAGAGUUCUUCGAGAAAGAGAAUGAGGGAGAGGCUGAACCCUAAAAUCUCAAUCCCAUCGCUACUUCCAUUCAUCUCUUCGCCGCCAUUGCCGCCAAGUCUCCUCCAUCAAUGUGUCGCCGGUGGUGCUGGCUGAGUAGAUCAGGAAGGUGAGCGAGCUGGAGACUCUGGAAGCUUCGAUUGAAGCUGCGUUCGAAGCUAUCAAAUCUCGUGAAACUGAUUCUCAUGUCGUUCUGAGUCAUUGAGCAGAGGCAAUCCUACUUGGUUUCCAACAUUAUCUAGUGAUGCUUGGCACAACUAUUUUGAUUCCUAGCUCUCUAGUUCCACAGAUAGAGGGAGAAAAUGAAUACAUGAAAUCAAGACAAGGAAAAGAUUGGCCCUGGUAGAUAUUGUGAGAGAACUGACAAUGUUUGUUUUUAAGAUUAAGAUGCCUCCAAAUGUCCGAGUACAGUUGAUUAAUGGUUUGGCAGAUAUAGAGAUUAUUCUAUGCAACCUCCUGCACAAGAACUUAUGGCUAGGGAGAUUUGCAUAAUAAUGUUUGGACUUUCCGUCAUAUAUAUCGAGGGCAACCAAAGCACCACAUGCUUACAACUGAAUGGAGUCUAUUUGUCAGUAGAAAGAAGCUCUUUGCUGGAGACUCUGUUUUAUUUAUACGAGAUGAAAAGCAACAGCUUCUUUUGGGCAUUAGGCUAGCUAACAGGCAACCAGCCAACAUAUCAUCCUCGGUAUUGUCAAGCGAUAGUAUGCAUAUUGGGAUUCUUGCGGCAGCUGCUCAUGCCGCUGCAAAUAAUAGUCCCUUUACCGUCUUUUACAAUCCUAGGGCUAGUCCUUCAGAGUUUGUUAUUCCUUUAGCCAAGUACUACAAGGCAGUGUUUCUAUUCUCCUUUUCAGAAUUUGUGAGAUGGAAAAAUUCACAAUGGUGUAAUUUGCAGGUUGACAACAAGUUCAACACUUUCCAAAAUUUGGAUCUGAUAAUUGUGCAUCUUAUCUGAAAUUUGCACAAAAGUAUUCCUAUUUAUUUUGUUCUUCAUACUUUCAAAAACUAAUUGAAUGAAAGUUUGCCACAUUAGGAAAGUUUGCCACCUUUUAGAAGUAGUUAUUGAUUUAGUUGAGCUAUUACUAGUUAUUUUAAAUCUUGGUAAAUACUACUUGUAUUGAUCUUUUUUUUCGGUUAAUCCUUCCAGUCGAUAACAAGAUUUACUGCAGAAGGAAUAGGAUCCGUGUGUGGAAGGUUAUCUAUUGGGACUGCUGAAAAGAUUCCAGAAUCAGAGAUUAUUGGUACAACUGAUGCCAGGACGCAUUUGUUGGAGCUAUUUUAUACGGUAUGCAGAAACUCUCCACCUUACCUUUUUGUAUUUACAAGCUUGAAUUGUGUAAUUUUCACAUUCGGAUAAGUCAUAUGAGCAUAAUUCAUUAAUUCUACAUAGACUUAAAUUUUUUUGUCCUUUACUUCUAGUGUUAACAGGUUGAGUUUAGACAUGAUUCAUAAUAGACCACACUAGCAUCAUUUGAUCCAUAUAGCCAACUCCAUUUAGUGGGGCGAGUCUUUUUGUUGUUGUUGCUGCUUCUAGUCUUGGCUAGUAUUUUAUUUUGCUGAUUGGUACCUUUAUUGUUUGAUGAUACAAGUAUACAACUGCAAAAUUUACAAAGCCUUUUAUUUUAUAUGUAUUCGCAGCUAUAUGUGCCAACUUUGAUCCAAUGGCAAUGUUGUCAUUUGCUUCUUAUGUGGUAAGCAAUCAUUUAAUUGAAGAUGGCAUAAUAUGGAUUUAUAAUUAGUGUUAGGAAGAAUAAAACAGGAUUUCACGCAGAUGCACAAUAUUCAUGUAUGUGUUGGUUAAUACUUAA